rnacentral:rRNA from 1 species
UAGAGUUUGAUCAUGGCUCAGGAUGAACGCUAGCGGCAGGCUUAACACAUGCAAGUCGAGGGGCAUCGGGAGGGAAGCUUGCUUUCCUUGCCGGCGACCGGCGCACGGGUGAGUAACACGUAUGCAACCUGCCCUCUUCAGGGGGACAACCUUCCGAAAGGGAGGCUAAUCCCGCGUAUAUCGGUUUCGGGCAUCCGAGAUCGAGGAAAGAUUCAUCGGAAGAGGAUGGGCAUGCGGCGCAUUAGCUUGACGGCGGGGUAACGGCCCACCGUGGCGACGAUGCGUAGGGGUUCUGAGAGGAAGGUCCCCCACACUGGUACUGAGACACGGACCAGACUCCUACGGGAGGCAGCAGUGAGGAAUAUUGGUCAAUGGGAGAGAUCCUGAACCAGCCAAGCCGCGUGAGGGAAGACGGCCCUAUGGGUUGUAAACCUCUUUUGUCGGAGAACAAAACCCGGGACGUGUCCCGGACUGCGUGUAUCCGAAGAAAAAGCAUCGGCUAACUCCGUGCCAGCAGCCGCGGUAAUACGGAGGAUGCGAGCGUUAUCCGGAUUUAUUGGGUUUAAAGGGUGCGUAGGCGGUCCGUUAAGUCAGCGGUAAAAUUGCGGGGCUCAACCCCGUCGAGCCGUUGAAACUGGCAGACUUGAGUUGGCGAGAAGUACGCGGAAUGCGCGGUGUAGCGGUGAAAUGCAUAGAUAUCGCGCAGAACUCCGAUUGCGAAGGCAGCGUACCGGCGCCACACUGACGCUGAGGCACGAAAGCGUGGGGAUCGAACAGGAUUAGAUACCCUGGU